ACGAACGCUGGCGGCGUGCUUAACACAUGCACGUCGCACGGAAAGGCCUCUUUCGGGGGGUACUCGAGUGGCGAACGGGUGAGUAACACGUGAGUAACCUGCCCUUGACUUUGGGAUAACUUCAGGAAACUGGGGCUAAUACCGGAUAGGAGCUCCUGCUGCAUGGUGGGGGUUGGAAAGUUUCGGCGGUUGGGGAUGGACUCGCGGCUUAUCAGCUUGUUGGUGGGGUAGUGGCUUACCAAGGCUUUGACGGGUAGCCGGCCUGAGAGGGUGACCGGCCACAUUGGGACUGAGAUACGGCCCAGACUCCUACGGGAGGCAGCAGUGGGGAAUAUUGCACAAUGGGUGGAAGCCUGAUGUAGCAACGCCGUGUGCGGGAUGACGGCCUUCGGGUUGUAAACCGCUUUCGCUCAUGACGAAGCUUUGUGUGACGGUAGUGGGUAAAGAAGCACCGGCUAACUACGUG
rnacentral:rRNA from 1 species